AGUUUCCUUGUCCGCAUGAUG
rnacentral:miRNA from 1 species